rnacentral:lncRNA from 1 species
AUAAAACCAACUUUUCAGAAAAAAAAACAUCCAAAAACUAGACUUCUGCCUAUUUAAGCAAUGAGGUAAACCAAAGAAAGUAGAGGAAGGAGGAGGAUCUCAAAAGGUCUGACAUUGGAAUAAUGCAGAACACUUGAUUCAGGUCAUAGAAGAAGCAACACUUUGGGCACAGCACAACACAACCAAGUGAGCACUGGAAACCUGGCACCCAUAGGAUAUUGAAAGUUAUCAGGAUAUUCUUCCCACUCCAAGAUCCAGGAAAGUAACACAUCAAUACAGGACAAGGAGAUGCUUCAACAUCAGAAAUGCAUGGGAGAGCCAGCUUCCCUGAGAUGGCAGCCAGGAAAUCGCUAUGCACCACUGAUGAUGAGGUGAGAUGCAGCAGAAAGUAUGGGUUGCAGCUGAAGAUAUCUAUGGCAUUGCAGCACAUUCUUCCUCAAACUUUGGAUUUUUGUCACUUAAGAAACAAUUUGCAGUCAAUGCCUGAAUAAACAACCCAGCUUACUCAAUUAUUGAAUAGUACAUGGAAAUUUCUAAUUGUAUUCUUUCAUACUGUAUUAUUCUGCUGAUUGGAAUUAAGAGAAAUGUAAUAUGAAAGAAUAUUGCUUCUUGGAUUUCAGAGUUUCAAAACCUUGCCUUUGUCCCCUUGGUGUUUCUUUGAUGUAUCUGUGCUUGAAGUUAUUUCUUUAAUUUGUUUCCGUUGGUUUAAGAAAGAUUAUAAUUCAAUGAACUAUUUUUUUUCUUCUCGCGUGGCUUUGCAUUUCUUUCUUUACAGAGUUAGGGGAAGCUUACCUAAUUAAGUUAUUUCAUUUCAUUGUGCAGAUCACCUUUUACCUGUCUGGUACCUGAGAUGAGUGGUAGUUAUCAAAAGCAAAAUGACUGAUCUGCAGGGGUAAAGAGUAGGGACGAUGGGAUUAUGAUGGCUGAUGACUGCUGCUAUUCAGAGUCAGGCACUUUCAUCUCUGGAUCCAUAUCUUAUUUAUUUUUUCACCCGCAACACAUAGAGCAAUGCCAAAGAACACAGAAGAUAAUCAAUAACUUUUCAAAUGAAAGAAAGAGCAGUAGUGCCUGAAAGAGAAAUAGGCAUUAUAUUAGAAGCAAGCCUGCAGCUGAUAUUUCUGAGAAUAUGAGUCAAAUGUCUUAUUUCUGAAUGUUGGUACCCUAUAUGAGCUGGGAGACAGGAGACAGAUGAUAUUUACUACACUCCAUGUCACCCCUCCUGCCAGGCAAAGUUGGAAACAGCAGGGACACUAUGAACUCCCUGGUACUUCCUGAUGUGUCUCAAUGGUGCUAUAGCUCAUCUUGUUUUUUCUUCCUCCUCUUACAAAAAGCAUAGUGUAAAUAUCCUCGAGGUCUCAUUAAGCAUCUUUUAACUUUGGUGAUUCUUCUCAGAAUUAACGGUAUAAGAUCAGGGCCACAUAUCAUUUUUUUCUUUAAAUGCUGCUCAUCUGCACACUGGAGGCAAGAAGGGACCAUAGCUGGGUGGUGGAGACAAGGAGAAAAGGGUGAAUUGGACAUGAACUCACACAUGAACCUACUAAGCUCUUGCUCCAUCUCUUA